rnacentral:rRNA from 1 species
UGCCAGCAGCCGCGGUAAUACGUAGGGUGCGAGCGUUAAUCGGAAUUACUGGGCGUAAAGGGUGCGCAGGCGGCCAUGCAAGUCAGAUGUGAAAGCCCCGGGCUUAACCUGGGAAUUGCGUUUGAAACUGCAAGGCUAGAGUGCAACAGAGGGGAGUGGAAUUCCAUGUGUAGCAGUGAAAUGCGUAGAGAUGUGGAAGAACACCGAUGGCGAAGGCAGCUCCCUGGGUUGACACUGACGCUCAUGCACGAAAGCGUGGGGAGCAAACAGGAUUAGAUACCCUGGUAGUCCACGCCCUAAACUAUGUCAACUAGUUGUCGGAUCUAAUUAAGGAUUUGGUAACGUAGCUAACGCGUGAAGUUGACCGCCUGGGGAGUACGGUCGCAAGAUUAAAACUCAAAGGAAUUGACGGGGGCCCGC